ensembl:lncRNA
AUGAUUGUUUGGUUGUCCUUUUUCAUUUCCUUUUCCUUUUUUUUUUUACCUUACAGCGCCACCAAGUGGCCAGUCGCAGCGCCCUUUUUCUCCGGACCACAGACUGAGCCCGUGCAUAGGCGUGCCAGUUUGGGUGAAGUGAUCUCAUCCCUUUCUGGAGUUAUAGCCAUUUUAGCAACCUGGUCCACACGACCUUCGAACGUUUUGAGGGCCCCACGCCAAGGUGAGUGGAAAUUUCCACUUUUUUUUGGAUGAUUAUUGACAGUCAAACUCCAGAGAAUCUUUCUGUUCCGCUUUUGGUUCGGACUGGGCCAAAUACCUGGUGCUAGUUUGCAAAAGAAGGUUUUCGACGAAAUCCAAAAUAGCCGGAAAAUAUUGUCAGAGUGACGAGCCAGUUUGAGACCUGCCUCUCAUUUGGCUCGAGCCAAGGAUUCCGAUGACAUGAGGCAGGUGGCUCUGCGACAAACCGUUUGGGAGUUACGAGCGAUGCCAUACUUUCCGCCGCAGCAGAGCCACUGCCGGCCCAAUCGGGGCGAGGCUCGGUGACGUUGCAGACGGGGGAGGGUACUACCAUCCCCCAGCGUUUCAGGUGUUUUCAUGUUUGUUUGGUUGUGCCUUUUCAUUUCAUUUUUCCAUUAUAGCCAUUUUAGCCAAUUUAGCAACCUGGUCCACACAACCUUCUAAGGUUUUGAGGGCCCCACGCCAAGGUAAGUGGAAAUUUCCACUUCUUUUUGGAUGAUUAUUGACGGUCAGACUCCAGAGAAUCUUUCCGUGCUGCUUUGGUUCGGACUGGGCCAAAUACCUGGUGCUAGUUUGCAAAAAAAUGUUUUCGACUAAAUCCAAAAUAGCCGAAAAUUUUGGAUUUAUGGACCUGACCUUCUUCAAUCUAACGGACUGUGUGAGUUUUUUUGAGUCUUGGGGUAAGAAAAAGCACAAGCUGUUGGAAGGAUUGUGUUUGCACCCUUUGUUUGCACAGGAUUACUUACCUCUCACAAUCCAUCUGUAAAAUCAUU